AUAGAUCGGUUGGGAAUUCUUUAAAAAUGAAUGGAAUACAAAUGUUUAAAAAAUGAAAAAAAAGGGGAAAACGUGUGGCUGUGGGCAAUGAAGUAGACGUGUAAAUAACAACGAAAGAGAAUACGACGAGAGCAGGUUCUGGACUGCAAUGCCCGAAGCGUAGGAGUUAAAGUGAGGAAUCAAGGGAAAUGCCUCUCUUCAACGCGAACUAGGCGCGUCUCCUCGGCCAUGUUACCUCCAUGACACUAGUGAGUGACUGCACGAACGGAGGAGGCGCACGGCACGGCGCACCGCACCGAGAGGCCAGCCCGCUAGCCGCUAGCCCCUAGCCGCCAACCGCCAACCGCCAGCCACCAGCCACCAGUCCAACACCAGCCGCUCAUUCUGUGAAUGGGUUUUCACCCCAGUGCCGUAACAACUUUCAAAUUUACACGUGUAGUACGCCCCACAGGGCCCUCUCACACUUUCUUUGCCACACCACAACAAUCCAUCUUUUUUGGUUUAAAAAAGAAUAACAAAAUUUUAAAUCGAAAUUUUUUCAUGUAAAUUUCACCCGAAUGUUAAUUUUGUUAUCCAUCAUUUUCGUUGUUCGGAAAAUUUCAUAAUUUGGCUGGUAAUUAUGGGGAAGGUUUUGUUUAUGUCGAAAGGGGAGAGACUAUCGUUUUUUUUUUGAUUGUAUAAUUUUGGCUGGAAAUGUAGAAUGUUGUGAAACGUGAAUAUACGGAAUUUUCAGUGAAUGUGAGUGCAUCUUCGAUUUUUGAAGGAGAGGCCGUAAAAAUAGUAAAGUUCACGCUGGAAAUCUGAAAUAUCGAGAAUGAUAUACUUUUUUCAAAAUGAACCAAUUUUUUAGAAAAUCGUUCUUUCAGAUAUCUCACAAACUACUUAUUUUUUCUUCUUUUUCUUUUCAUCCUCGUGUCAUAAAAACUCUUCUGUUUCACCAAUUUUUAUGGUAAAUAGUGUCGAAUCUCAUGACAUGUGGAGAAAUAGGAUUUUUAGGGUCAUGAGGGUAUGUAUGUACGAUUACUUUUGUUUUUACUUUUGAAUUUUCAGCCAAUUCAACACAAAUACAGAAAAAUUUCUGUAUAAAAGUCUGGAAUGUAGGUCUGUCACAGCUAUAUAUAUGACUUUUUAAACUUUCAUCUUUGCUGGUUUGUUUAUUUUUCCUGUUUCAAUCGCAGUUGCUCUAUUAAAAGUGAUUGUUCUAAUAACUGACACCAAUUUGCAUCAUCUCCACGAAGCUGUUCUCUCACAGCGUCCUACCUAUUCUAAUACAUCCAACAACAUAUUAAAACUCAAUUCAUCUAUACAUUUCCUUGAUUCACUCCUAGAUGCAAUUCACUCGAAUAUUUUCUCAUCUCCAAUUUGUAAUUCAUAAUUUCUCAUAAAACAUCGUUUUGCAAAGGUAUGACAAAAUAUUAUAUUUAAUAUAUUCAUAUUCAUAUUUUUCAUGUUUAGUUAUUGUAUUUAUUUAAAUUAUUUGUUGCUGAUUGCAUUUUCAAAGGAUAUGAGGGUCCCUUUCCAUUUGAAGUUACGAAUGUGUUGGAUAAAAUGAUAAAAUAUCCAGCGAAAUAUCCCCAUGCAUUUUAUAACCCACAUCUUAUCUCAGAGAGCCAAUUUAUAUGUUCGCUCUUGGUCACACAUGCGGAAUUGUGCGUGUUGGUAUGUACGAGUUUAAACUCGUCGCGUGUACUUCCUGAAUGGUGCAAUGGUCCGUUUCCUCCUAUUAUCUUAAAAAUUUUCAACCCCUUCCUCCCAUGAAAAACUUAUUUCCCCCAGUUAUCAUUAAUCGUCUUACUCAUGGAAAAUGAUGAGAGGAUUUUUUUUUCCCUGCAAAUUGUAAUGUCAUAGUUUGCUCGUUCAGAGAAAGAAAUACAGAGUAUCGAAGGGGGGAGCAGUUGACGGCAUGAAGAUAAAAAAUAUGAAUGAAUAGCGUGACGGUGUACGUGUGAGCUUAACCGACAACCGUUGUUUGUCAUUCAGCACAUGUUGAGUGUGUACUACAAUUAACUCAACUUUCUGGCGCAUGCGUCAUAAAAUAUACGAGAUACUGCUCCUACCGAAAUUAUAUAUACAUUUUAUUAUUUUCCUUGACACGCUACUGCAUAAGGAUGUUCGACAACUUUUUAAGAGACAUUCAAGGUUUUUUUUUAUUUGUCUGGCGAAUUAUUGAUGGGACUGAAGAGAAAAAAUAUAAAACUUUUGCUUUUUGUCGUUGUUUAAUUGCUUACGAAGUUUCGCGAUGGUGCGAUUAUUUUCACGUGAUUUUUAUAUUUUGUCAUUCUUUUUGAAGGUUUAGAAAGAGUGCAGGAAAAUGUUCGCACCACUUUGAAUUUUGGUGAGCUAUUAAAUAAUGAGAUCAUGAGAAAACGUAAAAGUUAUAUUUCACGUCAAUCCCAUCAAUAAUUUUCAGAAAAAUAUCAAAAACGUGAAUUUUGGAGGAAAGGGUUUAGAACAACCAUAAGUACUAAUUAUUGACAAAUUAUUUUCAUCUCCAUCUGUUCUAAACUCAAUGAUAAGAAUCACGAAAGAUUGGAGAAAAAAAUUAUAACGCUAAUUAUUUUCCUGGUGUAUAAAAUUCUGUAAAGUGUGUACUUCAAUUUUCCAGAGUCUGGAGAAGCUAAAAUAUUCAUAAUUAAUUAAUAUAAUAUAAUGAGUGAGCUUUGUCAAUGUUUUCUCUCCAAUGUUCCGUAAUUCCUGAAAUCGGGUACUAAUUAUUCCUCAAAAUUCAUUUGACCACCUUGUUGUGUUUGCACAUACAUUACUGGUGGAACAUUUUCUCAAUUCAUUCAUUCACUUUCUUCUGGUAGCAACUCAUUAGAAUAUUUAUUGUAGAGGAAAGGAGUGAGUUUAAACUUGCUCCACAUACACAUGUACAUAGUACGUUCAAUGAGUUUUACGGUAUUGGUCUGCACUCGUUCAUCAGUCGUUUCAUUCGCGAUUAAUAUGUUAAUCGGUCGUGCGUAUCAAUGGCUUUAAUCAAUAUUCAUUCAUUCAAGUGUGAAUUCAUGUGUGUAAGUAUGUUCCUUGUAUUUUUAAUAGUUAAUAAAUGGGUGUGUUAACUCCGAUGGAGAAAUUGUGCGUAAUAAUUAUUUGUUUAAUAAAUAUUAUAGAUAUGCUGCAGGAUUUGUCCGUCCUUUAUUUGAAUUCUAUUUGAUGUGUGGUAUUUUCGAUUUUUUAAUGAAAUUUAUGCAGGAAAAUGUGAGUUCACAUUCACGAAUUGAAAAUUUUUCUUUUUUAGCUAGGCGAGGCAACCCAGGAAAUAAUUCAAAUGCUUAGUGAUACAUGAAACAUCGGUUUCAAGAACUGCACAAUGAGUGGGCAUCGAAAUUGCUAUUUGUUGAAACAAACCUAGAUGAAUUUUAGUAGAUGUGGAAGCAUUUCAUCAUUGGAAAUUUAAAUAAGAGUCAAAAUUUCUUACCGAUACUAAAAUUCCUCAAAAUCUAUGAAGAAAAAUCGGCACAAGAUUUAAGUUAACUUCAUUUCGUCGUUUUUUCGAAAGAUUUUAAAAUUCUCAAUUUUUAGGCUUAUAGAUUGUGAUUACCGUUAUGUACAACGCCAUUUUCUGCUUGACAUUGUUCUAAGGAGUAAUUGCUGAUAUCUUUUCAUUUUUAAUGGUUCUUGAAAAUUCAAGGGAAACCUUGGAUUAAAUUGGCGUGGAAAAAUAUACCGUUUUUACGUUUUAUCAUUAUUCAAUGAGUCGCAAAUUUUCAUAGCCGCACAUUUAUUUUAUUCUUUUAUCUUUUAUCUUUUAUAUUCUUUUUGGUGAAGUUUUGCGAAUUAUUGCAAAAAAUUACUGAGAACGCGGAAAAUUCUUCUACAAUAAUACAACUUAAAAACGAUAUAUUUUUUAGUGUCAUUUUUGUCAACCGUUUCUCCGCAAUUUAUAAAAAAGGAAAAAUAGGAAAUAUCGGUAAUAACUCGUUAAUUUUCCCUUCCAGAACCUUUGAAAAUUGUCAAAAUUAACGAGAAUACUAGAAAGUGUAUUAAAUUUUCAUUGUCGAUUACGUUUGAUGCCAACUGUAAGAAUAACAUGGAAAAAUAGUUCAUCAGAUUGCAGCAAUUGAGUCAAGAAUAAAGUGUAAUUGAGAUAUCUCAAUCAUCAUCAUCAGUUAGAAAGGAGAAGGAAAAACUGAAAACAAUAGGAUCAUUGAGUCGCCCCAUUUACGCAAGAGAUGGACUCAUGUUUGAUAUUUUUUUCACUCUACCAUUCUCCUCUGCUACUUCUGUGAGUACUUCACUCAGAAAGAUAACAGACAAUUCCGAGAGGGAGACUUAAAAACUCUCUUUUUCCAUUAUCUGAUACAUUUUUCUCUCAAGCUUUCACAAUUUCUCAACAUUUUGUAAUUCCUCUUAGUCAAUUAUAUCAUGGGAGUAUUUUGUUUCCCUCUUAAUGCGUGAGAUUGGGGAACAUGGGAAAAAAAAAUAAUAAUUGUCGAGACUUUUUGUGUGUGAAUUAGAUCAUGAAUUUACCUGUUUACGGCGUCUAGGUGCAGCGAAUCACUCAUGAAGAAAUUGUUUAAUAUGCCUUGACGAUUAGAAGAAAAUCAAAUUAGUGGUUGAGUGGGUCUAAUUGUCAUCACAGCGGGCCCAAUAGUGUGAUGGAAAAGCAGUGAAAAUACUAAACUCACAAAAUAAAAUUCAAUUCAAUUGCUCGAAGUGCUGAACGAGAUGAUUCGAAUCAGGAGGUAAUUGUUUUUAUCUCAUCAUCACAUAUUGUAUAAUGAUCGUAUUUCCAAAGUUUGCGUCAUUAGUUGGAGCAUAUAUUUUUUGAAUAGAUUUAAAAUAUAUAUAAGUUCUAUUAGUGAUAUAGGGAUAAUUACCAUAAUUGGAAUAAAUGCAUAAUAUACUUGGAUGAAGGCACAACCCACUAACAUUUAAAUCUACUCAUCUAAUCCAUGUUCUCCUAUUUUGUUUUUUUUUCUAUAUAAAAAAAGUACAUAAAGUUU